UGGUGGGUAGUUUGACUGGGGCGGUCUCCUCCUAAAGAGUAACGGAGGAGCACGAAGGUUGGCUAAUCCUGGUCGGACAUCAGGAGGUUAGUGCAAUGGCAUAAGCCAGCUUGACUGCGAGCGUGACGGCGCGAGCAGGUGCGAAAGCAGGUCAUAGUGAUCCGGUGGUUCUGAAUGGAAGGGCCAUCGCUCAACGGAUAAAAGGUACUCCGGGGAUAACAGGCUGAUACCGCCCAAGAGUUCAUAUCGACGGCGGUGUUUGGCACCUCGAUGUCGGCUCAUCACAUCCUGGGGCUGAAGUAGGUCCCAAGGGUAUGGCUGUUCGCCAUUUAAAGUGGUACGCGAGCUGGGUUUAGAACGUCGUGAGACAGUUCGGUCCCUAUCUGCCGUGGGCGCUGGAGAACUGAGGGGGGCUGCUCCUAGUACGAGAGGACCGGAGUGGACGCAUCACUGGUGUUCGGGUUGUCAUGCCAAUGGCACUGCCCGGUAGCUAAAUGCGGAAGAGAUAAGUGCUGAAAGCAUCUAAGCACGAAACUUGCCCCGAGAUGAGUUCUCCCUGACUCCUUGAGAGUCCUGAAGGAACGUUGAAGACGACGACGUUGAUAGGCCGG
rnacentral:rRNA from 1 species